GCAGCUGCAGGAUCCAAGGGCAGGGAGGGGAGCAGAGGAGGCGGCUGCAUGGCCCUGGAGCUGGUUUUGCUGGGAGGUGUUUGUCCAGCUGGCGAAGAGCUGCUUGGCACAUAGCAAGGCAUGGGGACUGCUGCCGGUCCGGUCCCUCGGGGACCAGGAUCACCCAUCGGGGACUCCCAGCUGGUCCCAUGGAUAAACCUGCAGCACUCUACAGGGCUAAAUGACUCCGGGCUCCAGCACAAACAGCCUUCCAGCACAGCCCUAGAGGACCAGAGACCAGAACUCCCAGUGCCUGGCAGGGCCAGGGACUACCAAGAAAGCCAAGUUAUCAGCCCUUUCAUGUCAGCCUCUGUAAUGGUCAGUGAUUGGGGUGGAUGGGUGGGGAAUAUUGGUGAUUUGUACAAACAGUCUGCAACCAUGACUACUGCUAUGGAAAUCAGCCUAUAUGACAAAGAUUUGGCUGCGCCCCACUGCUCUCAGCAAAGGACGAUGCUUAGGUCAGGACCAGGGAACUGGGGUCCUGCUCACAAUCCGAUGGGUCAGAACUGGGACCCCAAGGAGAUUGCAGCCAAGGGAGACUCUUCAAGUUGUCUGCUAGGGGCUCUGUGCUGGGUAUGGAAGGGUUAUUUCUUUCUGGAGAUGUGAUCUCUGAACAGGAAAACUGUCUGAGCCGCCCUUGGUAAGAAACGGGUAUGACAGAAUGGAAAACCGAAGAGACAGCCACUUGUCUUGGGAACAAAAAUAUUUGCAGUCAAAACA